GCCCACGGACCGGGCUAGCUCACCGCGAGCCAGCCGCCCUCUGGCCAAGAGAAAGAAAUCAGAAGACAACAAGCUGUUCUUCUGAAGCAUCAAUUUCAUCUUUGCUGAAAUGGUAACUUGCCUCUGUGAAGAGUUGAGAAAAGGAAAAAUGGAGGCAAACACUUGUGACUUGAAAGAACUACCACCUUUUACUUAUUCUAAGGAACCGAUAGAGAACCCGGACCUCUACCUGGACGUGACUUUUUCCCGAUAUUAUUUCUGUUCCCCUGUCCUAUGUGUUCAUAACAUCCCAUUGUAUUUGUUAAGAAAAUUUCUGCCAUAUUGCAGGGGACUUUUGACAGUUUUUGUAAGUAGAAAUUUUCCUAUGUAAUGUAAACUCUGUACUAUAAGUAAAUGUAUUCUUUCAUCUUUUUUAUGAAUUAAUUUGCAUUGUCUUUACUUGAAAGAGAAUGAAAGCUAAAUUUUUACUAAAGAUAGGUAACUCUGAAGUAUGGAUGUUGAUUUGAAACAUU